UCAGCCCUGACUAAGAAGACAAGCCCCGAUAACAAUAUUGUCAAGGCUCUGUUGGUUUUCUGGUUCAAAUCCUUGUUCACGCUGUUUGCUGAGUACUUAUCUGCUGUGACAGCCUUCAGACACACAGAGAGCCCUGAAAGAGGUCUUCCACAAGCAGAUCCUUCCUGCUGGGCAGUGGCUGAAAUGGCCUUUUCAGCCUCCAUCAAGUGGAGCUUGAGGUUUUGAGCCAGACCCUGGGACCCCUUCACUGAGGAAGGGAUGUGGACACAGUUUGUCUGGAAGUAUUACAUACAGCUCUUUGUCCCAUCUGCAGGUGCCUAUGAAAGCACCCACGGCCGCCCCAGCCCCUCCGCAUGCCACGCCCAGCCCUCGGAUAGGAACUGC